UACGUAGGGGGCAAGCGUUGUCCGGAUUUAUUGGGCGUAAAGAGCGUGUAGGCGGCCUGGAAGGUCAGCUGUGAAAACUCGAGGCUCAACCUCGAGACGUCGGUUGAAACCACCUGGCUAGAGUCCGGAAGAGGAGAAUGGAAUUCCCGGUGUAGCGGUGAAAUGCGCAGAUAUCGGGAAGAACACCCGUGGCGAAGGCGGUUCUCUGGGACGGUACUGGCGCUGAGACGCGAAAGCGUGGGGAGCGAACAGG
rnacentral:rRNA from 1 species